rnacentral:lncRNA from 1 species
GGGAUUACAGGUGUGAGCCACUGCACCCGGCCUCACUUUACAUUUUUAUUGGACAGCACUGCUCUAGAAAGGGAGCUAGGAAGAUAGUAAGUAGUGGCUGACUCUUGGUGGUGGAAUUACAAAAGCCUUUCCCCCCUCCUUUUUUAAAAAUAAUUUUUCUGUGUUUUUUAAGCUUUGCAGAAAUGCCACAACUAGCCAUUCUUGCUUUAUAUCUGCAAAGGCACAUCUAUUAUUAUUUUUAAUGACUCUCAGAGCUUGUUGGGAAAUGGGACUGAGUUAAGCAGCUUCCUGGAAGGAUCAGUGUCAGCAACCAUGCUGUGGGGAGAGUCAGGGAACAGCAAGAGUGUCGGGGGCUUUGAGGACUCCAGAGAUUUGAACUGGGCUCAGGGUUCAAGAGCUCAGGUAGGAACCAGAACCCCAGUGAGGGGUGAUGGGGAAGCUUAUUAGUGAGACACAGGAAGUGGCUCCAGUGAUGGCUUCAUGGCUUUGGCCUGGUGGGGCCUCUUCCGGUGUACACAGCAGGAAGCUGUGCUCUUCCUGAUGGACGUCAGCUCCUAUCUCUCCUGGGGAGUGGAGGCUGCUCUGGAGUGGGGCCAAGAUCGGGAGGCCCAGGAGAGAAAAGGGCCUGCAAUCUACCUCCCAGUCAACAAGAUGCUAUAAUAAAAACAUAGCCAACUGUCACUCAGCGUUUAUUACGGUGCCAGGUGCUGCUUCACAUACUUUCCAUAUUUUAACUCAUCUAUUCCUGAAUUGCAAUCUAUGAGAUAGGAACUAUUAUUGUCCCCAUUUCACAGAUGAGGAAACAGGUGCAGAACCGUGGAGUAACCUGCGCAGGGUCUCCAGUAGAAAAACAGGCCCUUGGUCAGAUGAAUUUACCCACUUCGGCCACCAGGGGCGCUGUUGGCACAGCUUGAACUCGAGACCAGCGCUGUCCAACGGAAACCGAACCUCCAGCCAGGGGGACUGAGGGAAGGCUUCCCAGAGGCGGUGACCCUGACAUUGGGUUCCCAGGAGUGAAGAACAUUUUGACAAUCAGCAAGGAGAGCGUUCCAGACGAGGAAGCUGCAUGUUGAGGUGAGGAGGAAGGCACGGCCCACAGCCCUGGAACUCUGGGAGCUGGGGCUCUUCUUAGGAGCCUCCUUGAGCACUUUUAAGCCUGAUAAGAGCUAUGAUUCCUGAGGGCUGAGAGCACUUAGCUUUUACUCCUGCGUCCUCCUACUGAGCACAGUGCUGAUACCAGUAUCAGUUGAAUACGCGAACGUGCAAACUGCCCCACCCCCGCCUUGCUCCAACACACACACACACACAGACACUCUUGCAGAAACAAAUGUUCAAUGCUGGCUGACAUACAGCGACAGAAGAACAAUUGGGGGAAAACACUCCUUCCACUUCACGAUCUUCGCACACGCUGUCUGCCUGACGGGGACACUGUGCCAUGCCCGCCCCCAGUCUGUUCUCAGGGCGUGCUGUGUCUGUCUUAUUCCUGCGGUGUCCCUCCUGCCAUGCACAGAGCUGUCCAUUGGUAAAUAUUUAUUGCUUGAAUUCAUGUGCUCCAAACACAGAAAUAUGUGCUGCAUACCAUUUAGUAAAUGAAGUUGCUAAAGUGAAUGUCCACACGGGGCUCCUGGCUGAUGACAGAAGACUAAGACAAGAAAAGGGGAAAAGUGGGGCAAAAACGCACCAGGCUUCUGUUCAGCAAUGUGUCUCCACUUAGAGAAACGGCCCCUGGCUGCCUGUCUAAGCCACUACUCCUUGCUCAGAGAACAAGAAGUUCCUUGCCUCUCUGCACAUGCGGAGCAACCCUGAAGCCUCAGUUUCCCCAUCUGCAGCAUGGGGACAGUGAGGAGCCUACAGGGUUAUUGUGAGGAUGGGUCAUAAUAACAUGGACAAAACACUCAGCGUGGUGCCUGGCACAGAGCAGAGUCCUGGGAGUGGUGAUGCUCGUGGUGGUAAGGGCCACCCACCUGGAACCCAGAAUGUGGCUCUUCCAGGGAUGGUGGCAAACCUUUGGCCACCUUGGCAGUGAUGAAACACCAGCCUUUGGUCUCUGGCCAAAAACUGCCUCUCCGGGGGCCUACCCCAUGCCUGGCAUCCUGAACUUGCUCUUGGGCUAUUUAGAAUCAACCUGAUCCCUCUUAUCCACCCAGACUCAGUUUCCCAACCUGGUAAAUUGGGGCCAGUUGAACAGGCUGACAUUCCCUGACAAACAGCCUGUCGUUCUAUUGCCGCCUGCUACAAGUGCACCUUUCACUUUCUGCAAACAAAACAAAAAAUAAAAAAAACCUCUGCUGCUUCCUGGCAUUCUUGGGGCUCGCUCAUCCGGGGGUGGACCAAGGGUGGGCCUCUUUUCAGGGAUGCCGGUGCUGUGACCUCCCCCAGGGCCCAUCUCCACUGGGGCAGCUAGAAGGGGAGAAGCCGGCUUGAGUUCCCACUCCCCACGCGCCUGCCACUUCCAGCGCAGAAGCAAUUUGCUUUCAUUAUGAAGGCCAUGGCAGAGUCUGUUUGCAGAAGGACUAAGCUUCUCAGCUGCCUGUACUGCGGGGAAAAUUUUCCUUAAUUAUUUUUUUAUAGCCUAACUUUUGUGUGAGAGGGUUUGUUAUUAUCCCUGCCUCGCUUGAGAGUCAUAAGCCCGCAAGAA